UACGUAGGGCGCAAGCGUUGUCCGGAAUUAUUGGGCGUAAAGAGCUCGUAGGCGGUUUGUCGCGUCUGCUGUGAAAACCUGAGGCUCAACCUCGGGCUUGCAGUGGGUACGGGCAGACUAGAGUGCGGUAGGGGUGACUGGAAUUCCUGGUGUAGCGGUGGAAUGCGCAGAUAUCAGGAGGAACACCAAUAGCGAAGGCAGCUCGCUGGGACGUUACUGACACUGAGGCGCGAAAGCGUGGGGAGCGAACAGG
rnacentral:rRNA from 1 species